GAUGAACGCUGGCGGCGUGCCUAAUACAUGCAAGUCGAGCGAACGGACGAGAAGCUUGCUUCUCUGAUGUUAGCGGCGGACGGGUGAGUAACACGUGGAUAACCUACCUAUAAGACUGGGAUAACUUCGGGAAACCGUAGCUAAUACCGGAUAAUAUUUUGAACCGCAUGGUUCAAAAGUGAAAGACGGUCUUGCUGUCACUUAUAGAUGGAUCCGGGCUGCAUUAGCUAGUUGGUAAGGUAACGGCUUACCAAGGCAACGAUGCGUAGCCGACCUGAGAGGGUGAUCGGCCACACUGGAGCUGGGCCAGGGUCCAGACUCCUGCGGGACGGAGCAGACGGGAAUCUUCCGCAAUGGGCGAAAGCAUGACGGAGCGACGCCACGUGAGUGAUGAAGGUCUUCGGAUCGUAAAACUCUGUUAUUAGGGAAGAACAUAUGUGUAAGUAACUGUGCAGAUCUUGACGGUACCUAAUCAGAAAGCCACGGCUAACUACGUG
rnacentral:rRNA from 1 species